AACGAACGCUGGCGGCAGGCCUAACACAUGCAAGUCGAACGAACUCUUCGGAGUCAGUGGCGGACGGGUGAGUAACACGUGGGAACGUGCCUUUAGGUUCGGCAUAACUCAGGGAAACGGGUGCUAAUACCGAACGUGCCCUACGGGGGAAUGAUUUAUCGCCUUUCGUGCGGCCCGCGUCUGAUUAGCUAGUUGGUGAGGUAAAGGCUCACCAAGGCGACGAUCAGUAGCUGGUCUGAGAGGAUGAUCAGCCACAUUGGGGCUGGGACACGGCCCAAACUCCUACGAGAGGCAGCAGUGGGGAAUCUGGCGCAAUGGGCGAAAGCCUGACGCAGCCAGGCCGCGUGAAUGAUGAAGGUCUUAGGAUUGUAAAAUUCUUUCACCGGGGACGAUAAUGACGUAACCCGGAGAAGAGGCCCCGGCUACCAUCGG
rnacentral:rRNA from 1 species